AAAAUUCAAAGGUCGAAAUAAUAAUUAGAACUCACGUAGAAUUUUCGAUAUUUUAAUUUCGAAGAAAGUUAUGAGCAUUUUAAAAUUGUACAUUUUUUACAAAUGUUAUAUUGCUCUUAACCUUUUUCAAAAUUAAAAUAUCAAAAAUACCCAACUUGGGUAUUGGGCAAAAUAUAUUUUCACCUUUAAAUUUAAUAAUUGGUAAAUACACUCUAAUAUUAAAAAUAACAUGGUAUAUUGAUUAUUUUUAACGUAAAAUGUAGCUUAUUAUACGCAUGGAAAGAUUAAUAAGAUAGUGACAAAACAACACGUCAUAUGGGUUAUGACGUCGUUUAUCUUAAUGUUAAUAACAAUUAUUGUCCAUACGAUAACCAAAAUAAUAUCUGAACACAAUGCAAUUCAAUGAUUGUAAUUUUGUUGAAUAGUCAUAAUUAACUUAAAAUUUAAUACACACCAAUAAUUAACUAAAAAAAUACGCAGUUGAACAUUAGUUUGUGCGUAUAUUGUAUGUUAUCUCAAAAAGGGCAUGGCUCAGUGCAACAUUCUUCCCUAGGAUGGCUCUGCAUUAGGUUAUACAUUAUACAAUUGACUAUGAGUAUAGUAUCCCUGUCCAAACCAAUAAAAUGUACUUCUCUAAAAUUUAAAUGCUUUUAAAUAUGAUACUAUUCUAUACUUUAUGUAUAAAUUAUAAAUUAGAUUAAAAUAAUUUUCAGCAGAAUAAAAUAAACAGGUAUCUAUUAACAAUAGUCCUAUCUACUGUAUGGUCUGUAUGAUACAGGGAUCACUCUGUAUGUAAUUUCUUUUGGUCAGAAUAAUUUUUUUAAAGCGUCACGUACUAAAUUUACAGUUUAUUUUUAUAGGUGUAGGUACAAAUAAUCUAUAAUUCUUUAGAUUGUAUUUCAUAUCCCUCGUGUUAAAAUUUUUGUCUAAGAAUGAUUCAAGAUUUACAAUGUAGUUAGUCAUUAUAUAUCAUGUAUCAAUUAUGAUAUGUUUUUGGUCAAUCUAUUAAUUAAGAAAAAAAAAUUCCCGAUUUAAAAAAUGAAGGUAUAUAUAAGAUUCGUCGUUUAUAUGAAAAUUUAUUAUAUUUAUAUUAUGGGUCGCUAUAAAGAAUUAUAAAAUCAAAAUUAAAAUUCAUUAUCGUAUAGUAAUGACGUGUACUUAUGUAUCCAUUACACUUCGAUAUUAUACGAUGCAGGUUUUAGUGUAUCACGCGUAUAUCAUACACGCAUUAAAUAUUUAAAUACACUAAUGGUUGUACUUUCUUAAUUCUUUACGAAAUCUCAUUCUACUUGAAAACUAUACGAUGUUUUGUUAACAUUUUUAAGAAGUGAUGCUGGUUGAAGCCAUUGUUUUCCCACUCAACACUUCAUCAAUAUGUCUUGCAACUUAUAAAAGUAUAUAAUAGCAAUUCAUAAAGUAUUAAUUAUACACAUGUUCUAAAUAAAUAUUAUUAUUUCCAUAACAAUAAUAUAAUAAUAGACCCGUUUACUUAUGGUCCUCCGGGCAAAUGCUGUUCAUUAUAGAUUAACAAAUCAUAGUUCGCAUUGUCCUCAAAACCUAAACUAGUAAAAACAAGGUCACUGUUAUAUGCUUGGCAUGGAAAUAAAAUGGACGGUGGUUUACCCUUUACUAUUCGGAUAUCGUGAUAUAUUAAAAACAAAAUUAUUGCAUUCAACUCAUUACUUGAAUCUACUUAGGUAUUAUUAUUAUUAUUAUUAUGUAUAUCUUACCUAAUAUUGGAGUUAUAUUGUUUAUUUUUAGAGUAUACAGACACUCACUCAAUGGAGUUAGACAUACUUUAUGUCUUGAUUCAGUUAAGUAUCAAAAUAUUUUUAGUUAGUCACGUCAGUCAAUACGUCACGUUGGCACUUAAUAAAACACAGAACAAGGUUCCGAGAGAUUUUCCUUUUUUAGUAUUUUUAUGAAACGCCUACUCUUUGAGUCAAAAUGACGAUUACCACGAUUAUAAAAAAUCGUGAUGAUUAUCAAGCAUAUUAUUAUUAUAUGAUAAAAAUGUUUUCAUUAUAACUGCUUGGUUUCUUCGUGACGUAUUUUAAUAAUUCGUAAUAUACUCACUCGUAGUCUCUCACUCUAGUUAACUUAAUGAUAAGUGAACUUUUUACAUGAUUAUUAUAAAAAUUAAAACGUUUUUGAAAAAAUUAUAUCUUUUAUUAUUUAUUAUUCUUAUAAUUUUUUAAGAUAUUUUCUUUUUUGAAAAAAACAAUAGGUAUACAUUUUUAAUUUCAUAUUUCGAUGUACAAUGUUUUUUGGAGUAUUUUUCCGUAUUAAACCAAAUUUUGAAUACAUAGUUAAACUGUUGGUUAUAAAUUAUAACUCAUUUACUUUGCGAAAUUAAAUGUGACUAUACGUAUGAUUUAUGACUCGCGUUAAAAUAAUUCUCGAUUUACAGCAAACUAUGGAUAUAAUAGUGUACUGGACAUUCUUGGAAUAUGAAUAUGUUAUUCAUAUUACAAAAGUGUCUGGUAUUCAUUAGUAAAAAAGUAUUUUCACAAAUUAUGUUCAGAUAUCAGAUGGAACAUUUAAAAGUAUAUGUGCGUUUUGUAAGGGUUGCUACUGUUGGACAAGUGGCUAUUUACAGCGAAGUGGAUUGGUACGGGAACACCUCACAAAAUGUUAUUCUACACUAUUCGCGCUCUCCGAAAAUUUAAAUACUUAUACAACUUAUAAGCUAUUAGUCAAAAUUUUGAUUUUUGUGUAACAAAAUACCACGAAAAAUAUUCUGCUUCAGAAGAUGGAAUUAAAAAUAAUAAAAUAUAAAAAUACAACCCACAUUAUUACAAAAAGUUUCUUACAAAUAAUAAUGAUGAACACGUAGUUAUACUUUUGAAAAACUUCAAUAGAUAAAUAAUACAUUUAUGUUUACGUUAUUUGAAAAUUUAACGAAGUACCUAUAGAUGCAUGAAAAAACAAGGAAUUAUAUAUGUUCAAGCGGGAAUUCGUCUAUGAAAGUAGUUUUAGAGAUUGCUAUGGUAACGCAACAAUUAUAUAUUAUACAUCGAUUACUAGGGACAACCUUGGUAUUGUAAAGAAAAAUACCUAGGUUAGAAACAAUUAACAAUGUAUCAAGCCCGAAAACAUAUGGAUGUUAAAAAAAAAAAUCAGUAUUUCUUCUGUAAUUCUAGUUGCAGAUAAUCAGUCAUGGAACUGCCUAAUUUGUCCGUUGUUGGUAAUAGUCUGCUGGGUAAUCGCAUAUUCUAUCCACAAGUGCACUUGUAUUAAUACGAUUUUGAAAAGGAAGACGGUCAUCACAAUAAAAUAAAUCGCUAGUACUAUGCUAUUGUUGAUCGUUGUGGGUCAAAGUCAAGGACUAAUAUUGCACAACGUUUUGAGAAACGUUUGUAUUUAAAAUACAAUCAUUAGGCAUAAAAUGAAAACCUUCUGUAGACGGUUGUAAUUAAUAAAAGUAUAUUUGACAUUGAGCUUUGAACUAAAUUGAUUUUGAGCAAAUCAACUAUUAUUGCGUGAUAGUUUUACAAUGAUGUGUUAAACCAAUUUGUUUAUUAUUUUACUUAUUUGUAUGACUAGAUUUAUGGGUAGUUUUAGUGGUUAAGUGUAUGUGGUUUUUAUAGAUGAGAACGUUAUUCUUAAAUACUAUAAUUUUUUUUCAUAUUUUACUUUGUAGACAUUCUUUAAUUACUACAUGCCUACAAAUUUUCAAAAAUCACUUUUAAACAAAUUAAAUAGUUAUUUUAUAAUAAUUUUUAAAAUUAAUGAAAUUAGUGUUUAUAAAGAUAUCUGACAUUUUUAAUGAUUUUUUUGAUUACUUAUAUUUUGUACAAUAUAUAUUAUAAUAACUAUAUACUCCUACUAUAACUCUUUC